AUUACUUAAUUACACAAAGGGUAGCAGCAGCCACAGAAGCUACUACAUAUUUAGGCACCAGUCACAAACAAAAGGCACAUACUUCAUGUUACACACUACUCCUUCAUUCUUUCGGAUAUCUCCACAGUAUUUAACAUUAUCAAACGUCUGUGAAGCGAAGGUACCCCUUCUUCGACGGGAGGUCCAUAGUCUUGUAGCCCUGAGGGAACGUCUUCUUGGCCUCCUCCUCAGACACCGACGGAGAAAUGACCACCGGAUCCCCCGGCUUCCAGUUCGCCGGGGUUGCCACCUUGUGCUUGUUCGCCUUCUGCAGCGACUCCAACACCCUCACCACCUCGUCCAUGUUCCGCCCCGUGCUCGCCGGGUACAGAAAGCUCAGCUUCACCUAUAACCAAACAAAUUAAUUAACCCCAAAGUUUAGCCUUCGUACACACAAUUACACAUAAUUAAG
rnacentral:lncRNA from 1 species